UACGUAGGGCGCAAGCGUUGUCCGGAAUUAUUGGGCGUAAAGAGCUCGUAGGCGGUCUGUCGCGUCUGCUGUGAAAACCUAGGGCUUAACUCUGGGCGUGCAGUGGGUACGGGCAGGCUAGAGUGCGGUAGGGGAGACUGGAAUUCCUGGUGUAGCGGUGAAAUGCGCAGAUAUCAGGAGGAACACCGGUGGCGAAGGCGGGUCUCUGGGCCGUAACUGACGCUGAGGCACGAAAGCGUGGGGAGCAAACAGG
rnacentral:rRNA from 1 species